rnacentral:rRNA from 1 species
GGCCUUAUACAUGCAAGUCGAGGGGCAGCAUUUACUUCGGUAAAUGGCGACCGGCGCACGGGUGAGUAACGCGUAUGCAACCUACCUUUAACUGGGGCAUAGCUCGAGGAAACUCGAAUUAAUUCCCCAUAGUACAUUAUAAUAUCUCAUGAUAUAAAUGUUAAAGAUUUAUCGGUUAAAGAUGGGCAUGCGUCUGAUUAGUUUGUUGGUAAGGUAACGGCUUACCAAGACUACGAUCAGUAGGGGGUCUGAGAGGAUGAUCCCCCACACUGGUACUGAGACACGGACCAGACAUCUACGGAUGGCAGCAGUAAGGAAUAUUGGGCAAUGGGCGCAAGCCUGACCCAGCCAUGCCGCGUGCAGGAUGACGACCCUAUGGGUUGUAAACUGCUUUUAUAUAGGAAGAAAAUACUCUUGCGAGAGGAUCUGACGGUACUAUAUGAAUAAGGACCGG